UGUUCUGUGGCUUAGUUGAUCAAAGCGUCGAUCUAGCGAAUACGGAGUCGUGGGUUUAAAUCCCAUCAGAACAC
rfam:Aedes albopictus isolate Foshan contig128624, whole genome shotgun sequence.